rnacentral:rRNA from 1 species
GCAAGUCGAGCGCACCCUUCGGGGCGAGCGGCGGACGGGUUAGUAACGCGUGGGAACGUACCCUUGUCUACGGAAUAGCCUUUGGAAACGAAGAGUAAUACCGUAUACGCCCUUUGGGGGAAAGAUUUAUCGGAGAAGGAUCGGCCCGCGUUAGAUUAGGUAGUUGGUGGGGUAACGGCCUACCAAGCCUACGAUCUAUAGCUGGUUUGAGAGGAUGAUC